GCCAGUUCCCAAGCCCGCUCCCGCCCUUCACCUCAGGCUGCGGCGGGGCCGGAGGGGAGCGCGGAGCGCAGAAACAAACCUGAAGUUUCUCCACCUCCCUUCAAGUGGCAUCACCCAGCUGCCUCCCACCUACGAUCACAGCUUACCUUGGGCUGAAGCGUCUUACCCAAAAAGACGUGGCACAUGGUGGUCACAGAGUACUAUGUCACAGACAGUGGUUGCUCCUCCAGGAGUCUCCCAGCACCUGAGAAGUUUGGCAGAGGAUGCCAGGCAGUGCUCGCUCGCUGCUGCAUAGCUCUCAGAGCAACCUCCAUCCAGCAAGCAGAAGGCUGUUUCCUCACCCAGUAUCCCUGUGCAGCCCACACAAAACCACAUCCUGAUUUUAGGCUCACCAUUCCCAUCUGGAGCCAGAUGGUUGGAUGGUCCACAUGGUCUACAAGGCUGAAGAGCAGCUAUAAACACAGUAUAAACAAGGGGUUCAGCUAGCACACAUUAAGACAGCUACAGGUUCAAGAACAGCUUUGAAGUCUGAUGAGUUCAUGGCAGCUUUAGGCAUUAAGUGAGGCAGAGCAAGGGUAAAGGAGCAGUUAACAGCCAGGGAACAUUUGUAAAAAGAAUUACACCCAAAAGCAAAGGAAAUGAUGAUUAAUCAGACCGAGGGGCCACCAUUAGAGCCUCACACACCUCCUCCAGGGAGGCUAACAGCAAAAGCAGCAGGAAACACUCCAUACUCCACUGAAAAUGCAGAACUGGAGGCAGAGGUAAUGCAGAGCCACAGAAGCUGAGAAGGGAUUUCAGACACACUGUUUUGAGCCCAACACCUGGUCAUGAAACUAAUGGACAGAAAUGCAGGAAACACUAAGGGGGCUUUAAAAGGAGCCUUGGGAGAAAAGUGGAAGCUUCCUUAGAAGUGUCUGAAACGGUAAACCAGAAGAAUAAAGAACAAGAGCACUGGAGGUGGAAGAGGUCUGGAAGUUAUUUGGGAGUUACAGACCUGACUGCUCAGCUGCUUAAAAUAUUUUGCAAGCUCAGGCACCUCAUCACUGCAAGAGUGUACCCUGCCCAGCAGAAAAAGCAGGCAAGCCUUUCCAUUUCGCCAGAGACAAGGGCAACAACUCAAAGUGGCUGUACGAUGACAAAAUGAGCCCACCAUUCACAGAAGCUUUCCCGAGGGCUCAACAUCCUCAAGGUAGCGAUGACGUCCACCUAGGGCUACAUUGCUGAGGGGUAACAGACGCUGUACAAAGCACCCUAUUUGCAGGAUGGGAGCAACGGUGUGCCAGGAUAGUACCAUGCCUUCUGACAGCUGCUGACAGGUUUGUGGCUCACUGUAGGCUGUAUCUGGCACAAUACACCCCCGUUUUCUUUCCAACAGCACAGUGUUGCAUCAAAAGAGCACCCUGGAAAAUGUAGGUACGUGUAGUAAACAACAGCCUGAACUGCACAUGGAAAGCAGUUAAAAACUCUUGCAAUAACCUCAAGAUACUCUCAGCCUUACCUUGUUGCAGGAAUUCCGCCUAAGAAUCACAUUUCAAGCUUUAAGUCAUCAGGAGCAAGACCUAUUUGUCUGUGCUAAGUGACUUUUAUCCAAAUAACCUAGCACAAGCAUGAGGUGUCUUGCUCCACUGACCCAACCUUCAUUCUUCUGAGCUAUCAAAAAAAAACCCCCCAAAAAACAACCCCACACUACUACACUU